GGAGAGGUACCGAAGUGGCCGUAACGGGGUCGACUCGAAAUCGACUUAGGGGCUAAUCACCCCUACGUGGGUUCGAAUCCCACCCUCUCCGCCA
rnacentral:tRNA from 3 species